AGCCGCGGCUCCCCUUAGUUUUGCCACUUUUCCCAUAUCGGUGGGAAAAGUGGCAUGGGAGCCUUGAGGCUUCUAUAAAAGGAGCCUCAAGGCUCCAAGAUAAUCAUCGCACUUGCCCACGGGCAAGCAGUGAGUCGCCAAAUUGGCUCUAGCAUUAGCGGAGUCGAAAUGGCAAGGCUCCACAGUAAUUUUUUAAUUUUUUAUGCAUAUUGUGCACCCUCUCUUGUGACGACGAAGACAAGGAAGGCUGUAGACUUCUCCAUUCUCCAUUACUUGAGGAAUGGCGUGUCUGGCAAUUUAAUGCUUGUGCAUUUCAAAAAUCUGUCUCUAUCCUUGUGGUACACCCGUUUAACCAAUCUGCCCAUUCUAGUGGGAUAAAUCCACAGGGAGGGGAGUUAUUGAUAUUGCACUUACCAAAAGCACCACAGAGUGCAUAAUUACCACAGCCAUCUGCCUGUCCUGUCAAGAAAACACACCAGCAUUGACUUUGUUCAAUCCAUGUUAAAUGCGGAUUCACUCAAGAAAACACACCAGUCUACUGAGGUGCAAAAUGUUACAGAGAUAGUCAAGUGGAGCAAAAGAAGUAGAGCCUGAGCUCUUCCUCGAUUUCAUUUUCUGUUUUCUCAGGUUUUAGUGUUUUACGCUUAUUGAUUGAUGCUUUCAAAUCUUGUACACGAUGUAUAAAGCAGAGUAGAAACUGUGAGUUUUCUGGAUGGUCAGCAGUAAAAAAAUUGACCAAAUACCGAAUUUAAACUUGAAAACAUAAAAUAGAAAAUGAGAAAUUAAAGUAAA